rnacentral:rRNA from 1 species
GUCUACAGCCAUAGCACCCUGAACACGCCUGAUCUUCUCUGAUCUUACAAGCUAAGCAGGGAUUGGCCUGGUUAGUACUUAUAUGAGAGACUGCCUGGGAAUACUGGGUGCUGUAGGCU